rnacentral:rRNA from 1 species
AUUGAACGCUGGCGGCAUGCUUUACACAUGCAAGUCGAACGGUAACAGGCCGCAAGGUGCUGACGAGUGGCGAACGGGUGGGUAAUGCAUCGGAACGUGCCCAGUCGUGGGGGAUAACUACUCGAAAGAGUAGCUAAUACCGCAUACGAUCUAUGGAUGAAAGCGGGGGACCGUAAGGCCUCGCGCGAUUGGAGCGGCCGAUGUCAGAUUAGGUAGUUGGUGGGGUAAAGGCGCACCAAGCCAACGAUCUGUAGCUGGUCUGGGAGGACGACCAGCCACACUGGGACUGAGACAGCGCCCAGACGCCUACGGGAGGCAGCAGUGGGGAAUGUUGGACAAUGGUCGCAAGCCUGAUCCAGCAAUGCCGCGUGCAGGAAGAAGGCCUUCGGGUUGUAAACUGCUUUUGUACGGAACGAAACGGCUCUGGUUAAUACCCGGGGCUAAUGACGGUACCGUAAGAAUAAGCACCGGCUAACUACGUG